UGCAACACUGGACAAGAUGCUAUGUGUGGAGCUCUGCACUGGAAGCUGCAGAUACAGCCAUGAGUGGAGGAUCGGGGUCUGGGUCUGUAAGCACUAAGAGCCUGAGCAGUGGGCCAGUGCUCCAAUGAAGCCAGAGGCCUCCUGGGUCCUGACACAGCUGGGGAUGGGAUUUGACAAAGGCCUGCAAACCGAAGCUGGACAACUUGAUAUAAAUCUGGAAGGACUCACCAUCACUGCAGACCAUGCAUGAGAAGGAAUGAUGUUCCUUGUGCCCAGGAAGCUAGGGAGACGUAUGAGAAGAAAGGAUGGCCUGUUAUGUGUAGGGACCUGAUGGAGACAGCCAUUCCACUCAGCCUCAUCCAAGGACAUGGGGACACAACAAGGGACCUCACGAGAUCGCUUUACAGACCAGUUGGUCCGGAGGCACAUUUCUUCUGCAGGGAUUGGCAAGGAAGAUUUCAGUCUUCAAGGUCUGUUGCUGGGCCUGGGCAAUGGAUGCGUUU
rnacentral:lncRNA from 10 species